rnacentral:misc_RNA from 1 species
UCUCAGAAUUGCCUUUUCUCCUUGAACCUUUCUGCUUUCUCAAGUGACAAGACUCCUCACAGCCAGAAGAGCGUGAGCGAGCCCUCCUUCUAGUCCCCUUCACACCCUUACGAGUGUAAGACCUAGACGGAGACCUUCUACCUUAGUAACUAUCCUCAGAAGUGGAGGAAAUGGAUACUGAACUUCUUGAAUCAUAGCUAGAAUAAGAAACUGAAUCAUCACACCGCCGAAGCUUCUUUGAUAAACUUUUCCUAGUCUUACUUCUCUUCUGUGUACGACCCUAAAUGAACAAUAUACUGUUCAUGGUGCAUAAAUAAAUGGCAUUAAGACUACAAAAAAUUCAGAAUCCAUGUUUAGGUAAAUUUGCCAAAUGCUCUUUUUUCCAUCAUUAUAAGUUAAAAAAUAAA